GCAUAUCAAUAAGCGGAGGAAAAGAAACUAACAAGGAUUCCCCCUAGUAACUGCGAGUGAAGCGGGAAAAGCUCAAAUUUAAAAUCUGGCGGUCUUAUGGCCGUCCGAGUUGUAAUCUGGAGAAGUGUUUUCCGCGUCGGACCGUGUACAAGUCUCCUGGAACGGAGCGUCAUAGAGGGUGAGAAUCCCGUCCAUGACACGGACCGCCGAUGCUUUGUGAUACACUCUCGAAGAGUCGAGUUGUUUGGGAAUGCAGCUCAAAAUGGGUGGUAAAUUCCAUCUAAAGCUAAAUAUUGGCGAGAGACCGAUAGCGAACAAGUACCGUGAGGGAAAGAUGAAAAGCACUUUGGAAAGAGAGUUAAACAGUACGUGAAAUUGUUGAAAGGGAAACGCUUGAAGUCAGUCGCGUCUUUCAGAACUCAGCCUUGCUUCGGCCUGGUGUACUUUCUGUUAGACGGGUCAACGUCAAUUUCGAUCGGCGGAGAAAGGUUGAGGGAAUGUAGCGUUGUUUCGGCGACGUGUUAUAGCCCUCUUCUGUAUACGUCGGCUGGGAUUGAGGACCGCAGCGCGCCUUUAUGGCCAGGGGUUCGCCCCAUGUACCGCGCUUAGGAUGUUGGCAUAAUGGCUUUAAGCGACCCGUCUUGAAACACGGACCAAGGAGUCUAACAUGCUUGCGAGUAUUCGGGUGGAAAACCCUUGUGCGUAAUGAAAGUAAAAGUUGGGAGCCUCCGCGAGGGGGUGCACCGACGCCCGGCCCAGACGUUUUCUGACGGUGCUGCGGUAGAGCAAGUAUGUUGGGACCCGAAAGAUGGUGAACUAUGCCUGAAUAGGGUGAAGCCAGAGGAAACUCUGGUGGAGGCUCGUAGCGAUUCUGACGUGCAAAUCGAUCGUCAAAUUUGGGUAUAGGGGCGAAAGACUAAUCGAAACCAUCUAGUAGCUGGGUUCUGCGA
rnacentral:rRNA from 1 species